rnacentral:rRNA from 1 species
GACGAACGCUGGCGGCGUGCCUAAUACAUGCAAGUAGAACGCACAGUUUAUACCGUAGCUUGCUACACCAUAGACUGUGAGUUGCGAACGGGUGAGUAACGCGUAGGUAACCUGCCUGGUAGCGGGGGAUAACUAUUGGAAACGAUAGCUAAUACCGCAUAAUAUUAAUUAUUGCAUGAUAAUUAAUUGAAAGGUGCAAUUGCACCACUACCAGAUGGACCUGCGUUGUAUUAGCUAGUAGGUGAGGUAACGGCUCACCUAGGCGACGAUACAUAGCCGACCUGAGAGGGUGAUCGGCCACACUGGGACUGAGACACGGCCCAGACUCCUACAGGAGGCAGCAGUAGGGAAUCUUCGGCAAUGGACGAAAGUCUGACCGAGCAACGCCGCGUGAGUGAAGAAGGUUUUCGGAUCGUAAAGCUCUGUUGUAAGGGAAGAACGGGUGUGAGAGUGGAAAGUUCACACUGUGACGGUAUCUUACCAGAAAGGGACGGCUAACUACGUG